CCCUUAGGUGUUCUGGGCUGCACGCGCGCUACACUGACGCACGCAACAGGUGCCUGCUCCGAGAGGACUGGGUAAUCAUUUGAGUGUGCGUCGUGAUGGGGAUAGAAUAUUGUAAUUAUUACUCUUCAACGAGGAAUUCCUAGUAAGCGCCAGUCAGCAGCUUGCGCUGAUUACGUCCCUGCCCUUUGUACACACCGCCCGUCGCUCCUACCGAUGGGUGAUCCGGUGAAUGAUUCGGACUUCAGCGGCUCCCCUGGGGUGCGCCGGAGAAAGUUUUGUGAACCUUAUCACUUGGAGGAAGGAGAAGUCGUAACA
rnacentral:rRNA from 1 species